UACGAAGGGGGCUAGCGUUGUUCGGAAUCACUGGGCGUAAAGGGCGCGUAGGCGGCUUUAUAAGUCGGGGGUGAAAGCCUGUGGCUCAACCACAGAAUUGCCUUCGAUACUGUAGAGCUUGGAGACCGGAAGAGGUAAGUGGAACUGCGAGUGUAGAGGUGAAAUUCGUAGAUAUUCGCAAGAACACCAGUGGCGAAGGCGGCUUA
rnacentral:rRNA from 1 species